GUUUCCAGGAGACUAAAACCAGCUUGUUGCUAGCAUUCGGCAGAAGUGGACUAAGAUCAUACAUAGACCUUGUCACUGGACAACAUCCUUUGAGAUAUCAUCUCUGCUUCGAGGAGGAAGAGAUAGCGGAACUGCUGGUGCGAAUCACAAGGCCUGGGUGAGGUUGUGGCUGCGGAUCCUCAAAUUGUUUUUAUCAUACUGAGGCACGCACAAGAGAUCCAAGGGUCAAAGUGCGUAGGCGUGACCCAACACAAGGAGCUUCGAGGGACGAACCCAAUCUGUGUUAGAAACUAUUUGUUGAAAUCGCAGUAUCUCAAAGAUACAAAUUGACCAGUAUUAUAAUUAUCUGGUCUUGUAUAUUUUCAUAAGAAAAUUUGGUGUGGACAAAGAUUCUCCCUUUCUAUGUUUGUUUUGGAGCAAGUGCAUACAUAUCAAGAUGUACCUAUAAACGGAGUACUUUAUGAACAAAAUCUGGCCCAAGGCCACCCAAGUCUACUUUAGCAACAAGCAGUGGAUGUAAGGACCAAAUUAUUAUAAAUGAGACCAUGCACCAUAAGUGUCCCAAGGGCUUACGCGAGGGCAACAAAAAGCUGUUCGGCUCGUGUGGAUUCCCUAAACUAAGGGAUUGUAGAAAUCCCCGACGCAUGCGGUGGCUAUAAAAUUUGUAUUAGCGCUUACCUGAUAU